UUUCAAAGAUGAAAACUUUGUCCAGUUCUGUUACAAACUUUAAGUGAUGAUAAAGUAUGUUUUAGGA
rnacentral:snoRNA from 1 species